GGAUUAGAUACCCUGGUAGUCCACGCCGUAAACGAUGAGAACUUGAUGUUGGGAUGCUUAGCAUUUCAGUGUCGAAGCUAACGCGAUAAGUUCUCCGCCUGGGGAGUACGCCGGCAACGGUAAAACUCAAAGGAAUUGACGGGGGCCCGCACAAGCGGUGGAGCAUGUGGUUUAAUUCGAUGCAACGCGAAGAACCUUACCUACCCUUGACAUCCUAGAAAAAUCGCGUAAUGCGUAAUGCCUUCGGGAAUCUAGUGACAGGUGCUGCAUGGCUGUCGUCAGCUCGUGCCG
rnacentral:rRNA from 1 species